CGAUACCAGAGGAGAAGACGAGCAGCUUUGUACCUUUGCGGUAAGAAGACUGUGGCCGUUUCUCAGUACGUAACUGUCCGUACCUGGUUCUCAUGUGCUCCUGAAGCUUCAUCAUCGAGACUGCAUCAAACCAGACUAUUCAAAGGUCUCUCUCUAUCUCCCCACACAUCCACCAACCACUGGAACACAUCUCCAAAGUUCUGCUAAAGCUCAGCUUCCCCUCAGAAGAUGAAGGAGCCUUUUGAGAGGCAGCUGGCAUCGUGAUUGGACGGUACUUUGGUCUGAUCCAAUCCAGCUUCAGCUCCAGAGACGGCAGGCAGAACGAGUCAACGGAGGCCGAGUGGACGAAGGCAUGAAGCUGAGAAUAAUCCAGAAAACAACAGAGGAGGAGAGCAGCGGCCCAGGGCCAGAACAAACAGAGAAGCAUAGUAUGUCUCUGAGAAAACAUCAUAGUGUAGCCUUUGGGAUGAAAAACACCAUCGUAUAUAUCGUAUAUUGUAGAAAUAACAAGUCAAAGGAAAGACAUACAUUGUAGAAUUGUAGUAAUUGUGGGCCAAAUGAUUUACUGAUUAUCAUUAUUUUAGUUUUUACUGAUUUACGGUAAUAAAUCAAUUUAAAAAUGGCA